UACGUAGGGUGCGAGCGUUGUCCGGAAUUAUUGGGCGUAAAGAGCUCGUAGGCGGUGUGUCGCGUCGGUCGUGAAAACUUGGGGCUUAACCCUGAGCUUGCGGUCGAUACGGGCAUCACUGGAGUUCGGCAGGGAGACUGGAAUUCCUGGUGUAGCGGUGAAAUGCGCAGAUAUCAGGAGGAACACCGGUGGCGAAGGCGGGUCUCUGGGCCGAUACUGACGCUGAGGAGCGAAAGCGUGGGGAGCGAACAGG
rnacentral:rRNA from 1 species